AGAAAACAUUUAUUCACAAAGCAACAAAAUGAAGAGACAAGAGAACAAGUCUCAGAUUCAUCCCCCGAAGGCAAGGGGGUUGGAGCCAGUAGAAUGGUUUUAGGCUGGGGGAAAGGUGAUUGGUGGUAGGGGAAAAGGGAGGCAAUUGGUGCUCUGCACAAGUGCAUCCAGGUUACAUUCAUUUAUCUGAAUAUUCAAAACGGAGGCACUUAGUCUGAUCUGAGAGCAGAGUUUUCUGGCUCUCUGACGUCAAAAGUCAUCCACUGAACAUACACAAACCCGGUUUUAAGGUCAGUGGCCCUAACCAGCUCCAGCCAGUUCACACUAGGUAGGAGCUGACUCCACAUUCCUAUAAACCAGCUGGACUGUGUGAAACUGAACAGAGUGAGGUCAGGUCGAAGAGGAGUUGCUGAGCUGAGGGAUGGAGUGACUCAGACUUUGUGAGAUUGUUUUCAGAGAACUCUGAACAGUUCAUGCAUGGAUCAGCAGCACAUGAGCACCCUGUUUUCCUGAUGAUUAAGUGCCAACAGAAGAGAAGGCAAUGGCACCCCACUCCAGUACUCUU